rnacentral:rRNA from 1 species
CCUGCAUCAAUCUGCCUGUGCGACUGAUUGCAUGUGAUCUGGGAAGCUAAGCAGGCCUGGGCCCGGUUUGUACCUGGAUGGGAGACUGCGUGGGAAUCCUGGGUGCCUUAGGC